rnacentral:miRNA from 1 species
UACAUUGGGUUGGCCAGAAAAUUUGUUCAAGCUCUUUCUCAACAUCCUAUGGAAAAACCUGAAUCAACAUUUUGGCCAACCUAAUACAU